rnacentral:rRNA from 1 species
UGGGAAUAUUGCACAAUGGGCGAAAGCCUGAUGCAGCGACGCCGCGUGAGGGAUGACGGCCUUCGGGUUGUAAACCUCUUUCAGCAGGGACGAAGCGCAAGUGACGGUACCUGCAGAAGAAGCACCGGCUAACUACGUGCCAGCAGCCGCGGUAAUACGUAGGGUGCAAGCGUUGUCCGGAAUUACUGGGCGUAAAGAGUUCGUAGGCGGUUUGUCGCGUCGUUUGUGAAAACCAGCAGCUCAACUGCUGGCUUGCAGGCGAUACGGGCAGACUUGAGUACUGCAGGGGAGACUGGAAUUCCUGGUGUAGCGGUGAAAUGCGCAGAUAUCAGGAGGAACACCGGUGGCGAAGGCGGGUCUCUGGGCAGUAACUGACGCUGAGGAACGAAAAGCGUGGGUAGCGAACAGGAUUAGAUACCCUGGUAGUCCACGCCGUAAACGGUGGGCGCUAGGUGUGGGUUCCUUCCACGGAAUCCGUGCCGUAGCUAACGCAUUAAGCGCCCCGCCUGGGGAGUACGGCCGCAAGGCUAAAACUUAAAUGAAUUGACGGGGUCAUAGCU